rnacentral:rRNA from 1 species
UAGCCUUGGAGUGGGGGAUAACAGCUGGAAACAGCUGCUAAUACCGCAUAAUGCAGUUGAGUCGCAUGGCUCUGACUGCCAAAGAUUUAUCGCUCUGAGAUGGACUCGCGUCUGAUUAGCUAGUUGGUGGGGCAACGGCCCACCAAGGCGACGAUCAGUAGCCGGACUGAGAGGUUGGCCGGCCACAUUGGGACUGAGACACGGCCCAGACUCCUACGGGAGGCAGCAG